GCAUGUAGCAAGGCUGCAGGUAAUCACUUUGGUGAGUGUAAUAAAGUAAGAUGGCUGCUCACUUGCUUCUUUUGCCGUGUACUCGCUUAUUUUUUUAUAACUGUGUGAUCUAAGGGUCGGAUCGUGGUUCUUCUAACUGAUUAAGGUAGCUGCUUGUUUGCUUUUUUAUGCUCGCUCAGUUGCCUUUUUUCUAUCUAAGGAUGCAAGUUUUGUGUGUACCAAGUUGUGAAUUAAGAGGACUGAGUUCUAUCUAAGGAGAACCCGAUAGUCCUAUUUAAAGUCAUUUGUUAUUACCUUGAUCCUAUCAUAUGAUGUUUGGUAUUUUAUGGUCAUGGAAUGAGAGAUUGCAUUCCUUGUACAGGAGAUCUUUCCAGCGUUGGAUUGGACUAUUGCUGACUUUUAAUUUUAUUUUUAGGCAAAUGUCCACCUGUAAUGUUAGAGCAAUUAUUUUGGUGCUAAACUAAUCCCAAAUAAGUGUCACCAAUGUGUGAAAAUAAAAUGUGUGAUUAUGAUCUUUUAAUUAUAUUCUGAAUAUGAUUAUUAUGAAAUUUCUAAGUUGUUGACAUUCUAGCCUAUCACAUGUUGAUUGGAAGACUUCUCUUUUUGAUGGACUCUGGAUCUAAAGAAGCAUAUAAGCAUGUAGAGAGGAACAUGUUGUCCACUUUGCUGUACAAAUGUACUACACGAUUUUACACAUGUGUUUGAUUAGAUGAUAUUUGAUGAUUUGAGCAUUGUACUGGUGGGAUUUCCACAACACUACGUAUGAUCUAAACAUUGACUGAAAAUAUUUAUCAGAGUAUUCGUUUCAAACAAUUAAUUUUGCAAAAUGUUGCACUUAUCAUCCCAAAUGACUGUUGUUCAUUACAAAUCUCAUUCCAUUUUUUUGAUGUCCCUAUUUGAAAAAAUUUGUAGACGAAGAUGGAAUUCAGAAAAUGGAUUGCAUUAUCAAACGUGCAUUGCACGUGCACGCUUACUAUUUUGUAAAAGGCAAGAGAAAUAACUUUCAUAUUUUAGCAAUAAAUACAAUAUUAUUUAUUGCACAAACUGAUCCAUCUCGAUACUCACGAGUGUGAAGUAGCAUGCAGGUUAUAGUUUAAUGGCAUGUUUAAAACAUAACCUCAAAUUUUAAAAUAGCAAAUAACUUAAUUUUAAUAAAUGCAGACUUAAUAAUAUAUAUCCAAAAUAAAUGAAGCCAAAAUACACAUAUAAUAUCCGGAAGAAAAUAAUAUAUUAUCGGCAUACUUAGUAAUCUGUGAUCUUGAUCAACAGAGUUUAUUCAUUUCCCGAUUUUGUAAUUAUUGUUUCCUUAUGUAAUAGAUAUGUAACCCGGCGUCUAUUUAUUAACCAAGUGCAGAAAGGAACAAAAAUAAAUGUUUUCCCGUUUAUUAGCAAUGUUUUGUAAUGGAAAAAUGCACGGAUGGAAUGAUAAGGGGCACUUUCCAACCUGGUGCCGGACAAUUCCCCUCUGACUGUCAUAUAUAUAUCGUCCGGCUGUGUGACCACUAUAGUCCAAUUUCCCCUCGCUCGCUCAUCCUCGUGCAAAGAUUACUUUCUGCCCGCGGUAAUGGCUGCAAUGCCCAUUUUUGAUGGAGUGGACGACGCAGUCGAGUACAUGUACAACUACGUCAUGGUUUCCUCAGACGAGGAGGAAUUAGAGUUUGUUCUGGCAGCCCUAAACUCCAUCUAUACUAUAUUUGCAAUUGUUAGCUGCAGAUCACUACCAUUAUAGUUUGCAUUAUCGGCUUCUUUUUUUAAACCCGAGUAAAUAUCUGUUAUUUCACCUAAUCCAUGGCGAUUAGUUGGUCACGUUCAUAAGUUAUUGCAUGCAUGUACUGGUUAGGAUCAUACUAUCCUUCUAAGUCCAAAAGGUUCUUAGGAUCUAACGUAGUGGCUGCAAAAAAAUGAAUAUGUACCAUUAUUAUCCUUUUACAUUACGCCAUGAUAGUACCAUCCGCAGCACGGGCUUUUAAACUACAAAUUUUCUUUGGACGGUAGUAUAAUCUAACGGGUCCUGGUGCAUGAUACAUGUACCAUCUACAGAAUUUUUCUUACAGAAAUACAUUGCAACCUAACAUGUCAUAAUAGAUUUUGUUAACUUUCCUUACUGUAAUACUACAGAAAGUCAACCCGAUCUUUCAAUAGUACUUCUCUCCUCAAAUGACAGUACAACUCUAAUUAUAAGAUACAUACAUUUCAGACCUUACUAAAUUAUUGAAAAAAUGUACUGUUGUUUGCCCACACAUUUAAGUACUACAUGUUUUACAACAAUACAUUGCAAUCUACAGAAUUUUUCUUACUGUAAUACUACAGAAAGUCAACCUGACCUUUCAAUAGUACUUCUCUCCUCAAAUGACAGUACAACUCUAAUUAUAAGAUACAUACAUUUCAGACCUUACUAAAGUUUUGAAAAAAUGUACUGUUGUUUGCCCACACAUUUAAGUACUACAUGUUUUUGAUACCCCUUAUUUUUCUAAUAGAUUUGCUAUCAUGCUGGUUUGUUUGCAGCACAAUAUGGAUAAGGAGCCCUCGUCCAUUCUUGAUCGAGUUAAGUCUACGGACUAUCCAAGACACCAUGCGAGGUGAUACAUGGGUCAACCCGAGCUACUUCGAUCUUGGAGUUCGUAAGCUUAUUAGCGACGCGAUACAGAGGAACGCAGGAACAGACUUUGUUGGCUCCACGCAUAUGUUUGAUUUGCAAUUCCAUCGCCUAGCACGGGUGCUCAGUCAGGCUGGCGUAGGCCAAGCUGAAUGCACCAACUUGUUGAUCAACCAUGUCAUUGAACGACCUUUGCCGAAAUACAACGUGCUCAUGACCCUGUCCAUUGUAAGGAUUUUCAUUCUUAAAAAUUGGUAUGUAUACUAUUUGUUCGCCAUUAACUUUAUAUACCUAUUGCAGUACCUAUUGCCGUUGUAUUUGGUGGAUUCCUCCUAUGGCCUCCUUGCAGUUAAUAUUGAAAAUAGGAGGACUCUCAUAAUUUAUCAUUCCAAUGAGUCAUUCCUAGGCUCAGAGGACUUUCAUGACAAGGAAAUUAAGAAGGAAGCCAUGAUAGUUUUGCAAGAAUUUGGCAGUGUAUUGCAACAGGGGAGGCCUGGGUUGAAUCCCCAACUCGUGGAUUGGCCACAAGAUCAUACCUAUAUUACAGCUCCGCGGUAAUAGUUUAAAUUGUUUAUGCAUAUUAUAGCCACACUGAUAUAGGUUCUAACAUAUUGAUUUUUUUGGUCACAGCCUGGACUCUGGAUUGAAAGUCCUACAGGAGAUGGCUCACCAAGAUGAUACUCUCGGGCAUAACAUGUCCAGGACUUCAGUAUGUGCAUAUAUAACAAGUUUCUGUCUUACAUAGCUUUGUUAAUUAUAAAUUUAUGGGCUUCCUAUCACGUAGGUCUGUUGUGCAAUUCAUUUUUCAGUUAUUUAUUAAAUUGUUGUUUAUGUUUUCUAGGAUUCACUACAGCUCAGAAAGCACCUGCUGGUCCAGAUGCUGAUGAUCAAAGGCAAUGAAGCAGCUAUAAACAUCCCAGCUGAAAUUACAGCAUGCUUGAGGUUUUUGGAGGAAUGACUAUGGACUAAUGCUAAAUCAUAUGUCGCAAAUAUAAUAAGCUAAUAGAACCUUGUUAGGGACAAAUUGAGAUUUAUCCUUUUGGCAGUAUGAAUAAUGGAUUUGAUUAUAUAUAUGUAGAGAAUAAACUGUUUGAUGGCACCCUCUAGCUUCGUAUUCGUUUAAACGUUGUCUGCUUGUUUUGGUUCUAUCUAAAUAUUUUGGCUUCUAUGUAUAUUUUGUACUAUAAUAUCCGUGUGGUCAGGAGCAGGUUUGUUGCUCCAGGUGAACCAGAGGCAUUUUGUAAAGGACCAUUGCAGGUUCAGCCGGCAAAUGAGGUUUUCAGUCAUGCCUCACAUCAUAUACUAACUCGUAUCGUGUAACUCCAUCCAUACACACACUGCUAUACAUGCGAGGUUUACUUUGUCGGCAAUCGUCACAUGCCAGCUAUGGAAUAGCCAAAAUAAAAACAUGCUGAAAUUGUGCAUCUCUAUCCUAAUCUCGACGGAUGCCUCGGGACACUUAUCCGCAUCACUGGAACCCCUAGAAAAGUGUUGCUUUAGCCUUCUCCUAGGAUCAUAAUGUAACUGGAGUAAAUCUUUCCUCUCUAAAUCUGGCCAGAACCCAUACUUCCAGGCUGGAUCAUCUGAUAUUGCUCUUCUCCUAUAGGAUCAUUGGGUAGAUCCAUGAGAGCAGGUACACCUGGCUACUGUCAAAGAAAAAGAGAGAAGAGCCAAAUCACCAGAGCAGCCAUAUCAAGCAUGGGGAAGGAGAGAAGCAGUGGUGGGGCUGCUGCCUUGUGGGUGGAGAAGCAGAUCUGGGAAGAAACAGAUGCAGAUGAGAAGGAGCAGGCAAGCACAUCUAGCUACACUGAUCUGCUGGAAGAGGGUUGCGCCAGAGGAGGAUGGGGAGGAACUGUGGCCGGAGGGAGGAGGCUGGCGGCUGCCGCAGAUCUAAGGAGGAAGCCUGUGUCAAUGGUCCAGAGAAGAGACAGGAGAGACCUCUCGCAUGGAUUCUCUCUCUUUCUCUCUUUCCCCUUCUCAUAACUGGUCACACCUGAACCAAUGUUUCCCGCGCUUGUGUUCCCGCCUAGGUCAGCUUUCCCGCGUGCAAUCUCUAUUUCCCUGCUUGACAGGCUAAGGCGUCUGAUUUGGUCUGAGGCGUGCAAGGCGGACGCCUUACGCAACUGUGUAAGGCAAGGCCGACGCCUUGAGCUUGGAGGGCGCCCUGACGCCUAGGCGUCGCCUAAGCGACGCCUUACGGACGCCUUAAAAACAUAGAUGUAGUGAUUAAUCAUCCAUUUCAUUGAAAGUUCAGGUGGUCUUGGGGAUCUCUAUGUGGCAGAAGAUAGAGAUUUGGUGCCUUUUUGUUGCAAAUAUUUCUAGCUUUCUAGGUAGACCAAGAUUUCUCAACAUUCUGCAAUAUUCAGUUGUUGUAUGUUGUCUUAGGCUCACACCAAAUGCUGAAUUAUAGCAGUGAAUGUAAGUUGUAUUCCAUGUAGAGUACGUAGUAGAUUUAUAGCUUACUAUACUUCUAUAAAUCCUACAACUCCCGUAUUAACACACGAACCAUAAAGUCAUGAAUUAUAAUUGGCAAAAAGAACUAUAUACAACAACUGAGAAACUGGAAUUAGUAUUGGUUACCUUUGGCAUUGGGAAACCAUGGAGAAACUGGAAUUGAAAUCAUUCAUCGAACUUGUGUCGUCUCUGAGAUAUUACAACUGCAAAUAGUAUAUUGAGACUGUACAUUACUAUGAAAUUAUGGAAUUAAGUAUUACUACAAUCUGUUAAAUCAUACAAAGUUAGCUAAGCAGGAAAAUGAUUAGUGUGCAUGCCGUGAAUUUAACUUUGCUGUAUCUAAACUUGGCAUGCAAGCAAUGAAAAGUUCUUUAUUUAAUUAACACAGUAAUUUAAUUCUUCUUAGUAAGUUAUGAUUUUUUUACAUCUUUCCUAAUUUAUUAACAGGUCUGCGUUUGAUGGAAAACAAUGGUAUAUAUGGUAACAAUGGUAUAUAUGGUAGAAUUAUAUUCAGCCAUGAUCUGCUAUCCAGUUAUUCUCCGCAUGGGCUACCUAUAUAUGUUAUUCUCCUCUGCCAUCCCUCCUCUCUCUCCUUGCUCUUCCUUCGGCCAUCACAACAGCAGUCCUGGAGGAAAAUUUCCCAAGGAGUACCUUGUGUAAGCAAGGAGCAUCAAGAAGGCGAGUUGCUCUAGGUACGAACAAUUCUGGAUCUUUAUCUUCUCUAAAAGUGUAAUAGUUGUUAUAUUAGGAUCAUGUUUGGUUGAUGUAUAGUAUCAAAAGUAUGUUUUAUCUUGCAUUUUAUGUAUGUGGUGCUAAAAUUCAGUGAACAGUCAAAAGUUGAACAUCAAGUUAAGCAAACAGAACAAUUUACCAGAGCAAUCUGUGCAUUUGAGGACCUCAUGGUUUUAACCAUGCCUGUCUUGUAAGUCCAUCUUAGUGAUUCCAUCAAGGAGCUCUCAGCGAGAAUAUCUAGGCUUGGGAAAGAUCUGUCAUGAGAAACGUAAAACAUUUAAGGUA
rnacentral:lncRNA from 1 species